CAAUAUAGAUGUGUUAUUAAUAUUACCUGAUUGCCCUUAAUGAAACAUGCAAUGUUAAUAAAGAAAUGACAGACUAAGGUAAAAAGGACAAUAGGAUUCUGCUUUAAUAGUAUAGAUAUUACAGUUAAAUUAAGAGAAAAAUGAGCAUAACAUGAUGUCAUAUUUCAUAAAACAUUAAUUAUGGGGCAUGGAUUGUAUCAUUACUCUCCCAUGACCCUCUUGGAAUGCUGUGGUGGUUAUUAACGUCGGCCUCAACUUCCUCUCCUGCUAUCUUCUCCGCCAUCAGGAUUCUUUGUGCUCCGGCAACAAGCAGCUCCUCCGGCAAUUAAUAGUCGUAGCGACGACCAUUACCACAAGCAAUAAGAGGGAUAAAGCUUUGGUCUUCUUCAUGGCUCUUACUUAGCUUUUUUAAUAAUUC
rnacentral:lncRNA from 1 species